AUUGAACGCUGGCGGCAGGCCUAACACAUGCAAGUCGAACGGUAACAGGAAGAAGCUUGCUUCUUUGCUGUCGAGUGGCGGCCGGGUGAGUAAUGUCUGGGAAACUGCCUGAUGGAGGGGGAUAACUACUGGAAACGGUAUCUAAUACCGCAUAACGUCGCAAGACCAAAGAGGGGGACCUUCGGGCCUCUUGCCAUCGGAUGUGCCCAGAUGGGAUUAGCUAGUAGGUGGGGUAACGGCUCACCUAGGCGACGAUCCCUAGCUGGUCUGAGAGGAUGACCAGCCACACUGGAACUGAGACACGGUCCAGACUCCUACGGGAGGCAGCAGUGGGGAAUAUUGCACAAUGGGCGCAAGCCUGAUGCAGCCAUGCCGCGUGUAUGAAGAAGGCCUUCGGGUUGUAAAGUACUUUCAGCGGGGAGGAAGGGAGUAAAGUUAAUACCUUUACUCAUUGACGUUACCCGCAGAAGAAGCACCGGCUAACUCCGUG
rnacentral:rRNA from 1 species